CAAAAUUUAGUUUAUAGAAAAUUAUUCAUUUACAUUGAAUGGAAUUAUUGUGCAAUUCUUUAUGUUUUGA
rnacentral:tRNA from 1 species